GAUGAACGCUGGCGGCGUGCCUAAUACAUGCAAGUCGAGCGAACGGACGAGAAGCUUGCUUUUCUGAUGUUAGCGGCGGACGGGUGAGUAACACGUGGAUAACCUACCUAUAAGACUGGGAUAACUUCGGGAAACCGGAGCUAAUACCGGAUAAUAUUUUGAACCGCAUGGUUCAAAAGUGAAAGACGGUCUUGCUGUCACUUAUAGAUGGAUCCGCGCUGCAUUAGCUAGUUGGUAAGGUAACGGCUUACCAAGGCAACGAUGCAUAGCCGACCUGAGAGGGUGAUCGGCCACACUGGAACUGAGACACGGUCCAGACUCCUACGGGAGGCAGCAGUAGGGAAUCUUCCGCAAUGGGCGAAAGCCUAACGGAGCAACGCCGCGUGAGUGAUGAAGGUCUUCGGAUCGUAAAACUCUGUUAUUAGGGAAGAACAUAUGUGUAAGUAACUGUGCACAUCUUGACGGUACCUAAUCAGAAAGCCACGGCUAACUACGUGC
rnacentral:rRNA from 1 species